rnacentral:rRNA from 1 species
UCGCCUGUUUAACAAAAACAUGGCCUAUUGUUUAUUUAUUUUAGGUCAGGCCUGCUCAAUGAUUAAUUUUUUAAUUAAAUGGCCGCAGUAUCUUGACUGUGCAAAGGUAGCAUAAUCAUUUGUCUUUUAAUUGUAGGCUUGUAUGAAUGGCUCGAUGAGGUAUAAACUUUCUUUAUAUUAAAUGUUGAAUUUAAUUUUUAAGUUAAAAGGCUUAAAUGUUUUUAGAGGACGAGAAGACCCUAUAGAGUUUUACUCUACAAUCAUUAUUCAAUUUUUGGAUAAUUGUAGUUGAAUAAUGGUUUAGGAGUUUUGUUGGGGCGACAGGGAAAUUUUAUUAACUUUCUUUAUGUAUUAUUUAUUAAUUAGUAUAUUAAAGAUCCUGGAUUAGGAUAAUAAGAUUAAAUUACCUUAGGGAUAACAGCGUAAU